AAAGUAUUGUUCCUGGGUGUGUCUGUGAGGGAGUUGCCAAAGGAGAUUAACAUUUGAGUCAGUGGACUGGGAAAGGCAGACCCACCCUUAAUCUGGGUAGGCACAAUCUAAUCAGCUGCCAGCAUGGCCAGAAUAAAAGCAGGCAGAAGAAUGUGAAAACACUAUACUGGUUAAGUCUUCUGGCUACAUCUUUCUCCCGUGCUGAAUGCUUUCUGCUGUCAAACAUCAGAGUUCUUCAUCUUUGGGACUCGGGCUGGCUUCCUUGCUCCUCAGCUUGCAGAUGGCCUAUUGUGGGACCUCACCUUGUGAUCAUGUGUUCAUGAAAGCCAGUUGCUACAUGAAGAAGCCUGGGCUAACCUGCUGGAAGAAGAUGAAAGACCACAACAAUCAUGAUCCACUCCAGUCAUCCCAGCUGAACUCCUAUACAUGUAAAAGACUCCCCUGAUGGCUAGCCAAUCCUCCUACAGAAGCAGAUAGGCAACUGAUCGCAGACACAUGAGUAAAUCCAGCCCCCGAUAAGAACAGCUCAACCAACCUGCACAUUCAUGAACAAAGUAAAUGCUUUCUGUUUAAGUCACCAAGAUUUGGAGUUUUUGUCUUUUCAUUUUUGUUUUUUGUUUUGGUUUUGCAGUAAUGGCUAACUAAUACAGCCGCUAAAUAAUAUAUUUCACACCAUUGGCUUAGACAAUCUCUAAUGGCCUUAUCAGUUGAUGUUCCUAAACAGCUGACUUCUAUUUUUCUAAGGCAAUACAGCUGCACUUUCC
rnacentral:lncRNA from 1 species